GACGGGCGCUGGCGGCGUGCUUAACACAUGCAAGUCGAACGGAAAGGCCCUGCUUUUGUGGGGUGCUCGAGUGGCGAACGGGUGAGUAACACGUGAGUAACCUGCCCUUGACUUUGGGAUAACUUCAGGAAACUGGGGCUAAUACCGGAUAGGAGCUCCUGCUGCAUGGUGGGGGUUGGAAAGUUUCGGCGGUUGGGGAUGGACUCGCGGCUUAUCAGCUUGUUGGUGGGGUAGUGGCUUACCAAGGCUUUGACGGGUAGCCGGCCUGAGAGGGUGACCGGCCACAUUGGGACUGAGAUACGGCCCAGACUCCUACGGGAGGCAGCAGUGGGGAAUAUUGCACAAUGGGCGGAAGCCUGAUGCAGCAACGCCGCGUGCGGGAUGACGGCCUUCGGGUUGUAAACCGCUUUCGCCUGUGACGAAGCGUGAGUGACGGUAAUGGGUAAAGAAGCACCGGCUAACUACGUG
rnacentral:rRNA from 1 species